GCGCGAAAACUUUACAAUGCUGGCAACAGCGAUAAGGGAACCUCGAGUGCCAGGUUACAAAUCUGGCUGUCGAGAUGCCUAAAAAGCAUUUCAUAGCAAGGGCCGGGCAAGACCGGUGCCAGCCGCCGCGGUAACACCGGCGGCUCGAGUGGUAACCGUUAUUAUUGGGUCUAAAGGGUCUGUAGCCGGCCGGAUAAGUCUCUUGAGAAAUCUGGCAGCUUAACUGUCAGGCUUUCAGGAGAUACUGUCUGGCUCGAGGCCGGGAGAGGUGAGAGGUACUUCAGGGGUAGGGGUGAAAUCUUGUAAUCCUUGAAGGACCACCAGUGGCGAAGGCGUCUCACCAGAACGGACCUGACGGCAAGGGACGAAAGCUAGGGGCACGAA
rnacentral:rRNA from 1 species